GUUAGAAUAGUUUCUACGCAACGUUACAUUGAUAAAUGAGGCUCCAGGUUCGGCUCUCUCGAUCAACACAUUCUGGUAAUAGAGAUGACUGACUGGCCAGUCAAUCAUCACAUUUUAAUCAUUGAAGAUUAUAGGUUUGCUUGUUCACUGAAACAAUUUGAACCAAAGUGAUCUGCUUCAGAGAUAAUAACCUACACUGUCCAACUAAUUUAAAACUAGUGUAUGGAUAAUUAAUUACACCACACAAUAGGAAUGGCAUAUAUCCUCCCACCCUCCUCACACAGCUUCGUCUAGAUAAAUCAACAGCCAAACAUGUUUCUGAUAAAACACUGACGAUAUCCAGAUCUUUCUCUUCUCAGCCACUGCCCCACCCUGUCUCUCUCCGUUCCCGCCCCCUCUCUCUGUCUUGAUCCUUUCCUCCUACGGUCACCGAAUAACAUUCAGAAACCGACUUCCUUUUACCACGCGCAGGGGCUGUGUGACUACCGGGGGCGAGUGUCCUGCCCUGUCCACAACUCGACACACAUUCAAUGUCGACCGCGAUGCAACGUUAUAACGGAUUUAAAGGAUCGAUCAAGAUUACCUCUGGCAAAGCAAGCAGGAUGAGUUUUAAAUUAUACUCUCGGUCGAGUAGAAUCAUUUGAUUCUUGAGAUUCUUAAUUUUUGUUUAGAUAACAAUCACAACCCCGCAUGCCACAUGGAAAGCAUAAAGGAAGUUAAACUAGUUGAAGAAGAGAGAUUAGUAAAAAAAAACAACGGAGAUGUUUAGAAACUAAAUAAUAUUCUCCUUCUUUUAUCCCCGGCUGGGCAACUGGAAGCCUCUUCAGAAGAUUGCUAUGAUGGUGUUGCAAGAGGAGUGUGGUGUGUGUGAGCCAAGUCAGGGAGUAACUCCAGGCAGACAGGGGGAGAGGAGGAGGCCAUCUCCCCAGGGCAUGCUGCUAUCUCUAGGCCCAGUGAUGAUGGUAGUAGGGGGUUUCCUGACUCUGCAAGGUCCAGCCCUCUGGCUUGGGGUGCUGAUGGCUGUUACCGGAGCAACACUGACCACCGCGGGACUCUGUAUUGUCAUGACAACGCUACAGGUGUUGGACGUACCUGGACACUUCCUGUUACACCCCCGCACAGGAACACGCUACAGCCCACACCAGGCCCUGGCCAUCCAGAGGAGGUUGGACCGGAUACGUAGAGAGAUGUCAGAGGACUCUGUGCGAGUGACCCCCUCUCUACACCUCCCCUUGCCCCCCACCCCUCCUCCCUGGGACCUGGAGGCACCCCCCUCCUACGACUCUGUCAUGAAGAGCCGAGGUCCUUCUGACCUCUGAGGGCUAGGAUGGGACUACUGUUCUUUGACUCUGGUGUAUUCCCUUGCUGCCAUUACACAGUGAGCUAAAUAAAGCACACCCGUGCUGGGAGAGACAUUGUUCGGGAUUGGAGGGGAACGCAGAGGCUGUGAGGGGUUGGACCCACCAACAUUGUUUACAUACUUGUUUGAAGAAUGAGUGCGUUAUAAUGCUACUAUUAAGACUACUACAGCGUAAUACACUGCACUCCUGUUAUGUAAUUUAGCUUUAAACUAUCAACUUUACACCACCUAAAAUUGUUGUUGUUUCUGUUACUUUUUAGUAUAAGACUGCCCGGCAGCCAUAUAUUUCGACUUUGUAGUGGCAUCGUGCUACACCAGGCGACGAGCCCAGCACACCGCCAGCACUAAGCCUUCACUACCAGUCUCAAUGGAGCCAGCCUUUAAAACCCCAAUUUGACUUUCUUGCGGCCUUGGACUCCAUUAGAUGUGUGCUGUGACUGUGGAGGGAGUUAAGUGUCAUUCCCUAGUGUGAGUGAGGUGGUGUGUGUUUUUUGACAAUGUAAUAAAAUUUGGGCAGAGAUGAUUUCAACCAGAAAUGCCUUGUUGUUACAGUAGUAAUCGCUUGUAACAGUUUUUUUUUUCUCUCUCUCUUCAUGUUUUAAAUGGGAUGUCAUGAUCAACUUUAGUAAAUGAAUAACCAAAGAUCUCUGAGUCGUUUGUGUCUUAGUUGUGAGUUAAGGUAUUGUUAUAGCAUACCCUGCAUUCGAAAGUAUUCAGACCCCUUGACUUUUUCUACAUUUUGGUAUGUUUCGGCUUUAUUCUAAAAUUGAUUAAAUUGUUUUUUCCCAAUACCCCAUAAUGACAAACAGGUUUUUAAACAUUUUGACCAAAUGUACAAAAAAAAAAACCGGAACUAUCACAUUUACAUAAGUAUUCAGACCCUUUACUCAGUACUUUGUUGAAGCACCUUUGGCAGCGAUUACAACCUUGAGUCUUCUUGGGUAUGAUGCUACAAGCUUGGCACACCUGUAUUUGGGGAGUUUCUUCCAUUCUUUUCUGCAGAUCCUCUCAAACUCUCAGGUUGGAUGGGGAGCGUCGUUGCACAGCUAUUUUCAGGUCUCUCCAGAGAUUUUCGAUCGGGUUCAAGUCCGGGCUCUGGCUGGGCCACUCAAGGACAUUUAGAUACUUGUCCUGAAGCCAUUCCUGCAUUGUCUUGGCUGUGUGCUUAGGGUCGUUGUCCGGUUGGAAGGUGAACCUUCGCCCCAGUCUGAGGUCCUGAGCGCUCUGGUGCAGGUUUUCCUCAAGUAUCUCUCUGUACUUUGUUCCAUUCAUCUUUCC
rnacentral:lncRNA from 8 species